GCCAUAACAGGGUAUUGAACUAUUAGAAAAUACCAUUUGGGUAUUUCGAUGAGAAGAAUAGAAUCUAUGAAGAUGCUAAACAAAGACCAUACAUUCCAUAUGGUUUGGGCAGAUAAAGAAGUAGUAAAACCUAUAUUCUAAAUUCUAAGCAAACCAUUCCUGGGCAGUGGCCACCGGAAGCUGGACCUCAGAGCCUGAAACCUGGAUGUCAAAACCCAUCACUUCGCAUACAGCUCAUUCUAGGUUGUCAGAUUUUCCUGUGUGGAGUUGCUCAUCUGCAUUUUUUCAGCUGGUAUAGUUGUUAAGCUAUACUCCUGAUGUCAGAUGGAUCAAGGGUCCAAAUCCUGCCACUACCACCUUCUAGCUGUGUGACCACUCACUGGCAGUUAUUUGACCUGCAGCUCACUCUGAUGGAAGCCAGCUGCUAUGUUGUGUGUUGCUCUAUGGAGAGGCCCAGGUAGAAGAAAUUGAAGGAGGCUUUCGACCAACAGUCAGCAAGGAACUGAGGCUUUCAGUCCAAGAGCCUAUAAGGAACUGAAUCCUACCAGCAACCAGGCAAGUGGUUUCAAAGUGGAGCCUCUGUCAGCUGAGGCUUUGAAUAAGAUCACAGCUCCAUGUAACAUCUUGAUUGUAGUCUUGUGAGAGAUCUUGAGCCAGUGGCACCCAGCUAAGCUGUACCUGUAUUCCUGAGCAAUAAAACCCCACAGAUAAUAAAUGUUUGUCAUUAACUGUGAAAUCUUGCAGGUAAUUUGUUCUGGAGAAAGAGAUAACAAAUACACAGAUCAUAUAAAUAAAGUGGCUCAGUUGACCUGGAACUCGGGGAUCUGAUUCCAGGGUCUGUAUUCUUUAUCUCUGUGCAAUGAAGACUUUGAUUAGCCUGCACUUUUAUAAGCUACUAUUUCCACCACAUUGAAUUUGAUAGUCUUUCAGUUCUUCUUUGAUUCUAUUUGUUCUUCUUUGAAAGAACCUUUUCUAACUAGAAACAAACUGUUGCUGAAAUGAGGUAUUAUUUUCCACGUAGGCAAUUUCUUUGAGUCAUGGAAAUUUAGGGUUAGAAGGAACUUAAAAAUCCACAUAGUCCAAAUCAAC
ensembl:lncRNA